GAAUACAUAGCUUAAUGAGGGGAACUCAGGGAACUGAAACAUCUAAGUACCUGAAGGAAGAGAAAGAAAUUCGAUUCCGUAAGUAGCGGCGAGCGAACGCGGGUUAGCCCAAACCAAUAAAGUUUUCUUUAUUGGGGUUGCGGACAUAUCAUAACGAAGAGGGAUCGUAAUUGAAGAGGUUUGGAAAGACCCACCACAGAAGGUAAUAGUCCUGUAUGUUAAACGAGAAGACUUCAGAUAUGAUCCAGAGUACCACGGGACACGUGAAACCCUGUGGGAAGCAGGAGGGACCACCCUCCAAGGCUAAAUACUACCUAGUGACCGAUAGCGUAUAGUACCGUGAGGGAAAGGUGAAAAGAACCCCGGGAGGGGAGUGAAAUAGAACCUGAAACCCUGCACUUACAAGCUGUGGAAGCACAUUUCUUGUGUGACCGCGUACUUUUUGUAGAACGGGCCAACGAGUUACGUUAAGUAGCAAGGUUAAGCACUUAAGGUGCGGAGCCGUAGCGAAAGCGAGUUUUAACUGAGCGUUCAGUUACUUGACGUAGACCCGAAACCGGGCGACCUACCCAUGAGCAGGAUGAAGCGAAAGUAAAAUUUCGUGGAGGUCCGAACCCACGAGCGUUGAAAAGCUCGGGGAUGACUUGUGGGUAGCGGUGAAAUUCCAAUCGAGCCCGGAGAUAGCUGGUUCUCCCCG
rnacentral:rRNA from 1 species